AUUGCCAAAAAUCCUGCAUAAGGGAAUACAGACACAAGCAGAUACGAUUGAAUCAGUAACACGAAUGAAAGAAUGAACGUUGUUCUACGCAACGUUUGUUUUUGUUUCUCGUUCUUCUCAUUCUUUUUCUUCUUAUUAUCGUCAUCAGAGUUUUCUUUUGUCUUGUUAUUAUUCGCUAACAGCAAUGAUUUUUCUGAAAUUGG
rnacentral:ribozyme from 14 species